rnacentral:misc_RNA from 1 species
AAGAUGGAUUAAAGAUUUAAAUGUAAGAUUAGAAAUUAUAAAAUUUUUAGAGGAGAAUAUAGGUAAAAUAUUUUUUGAUAUAUAUUAUAGUAGGAUUUUUUAUGAUUUAUUUUUUAGAAUAUUGGAAAUAAAAGUAAAAAUAAAUAAAUGGGAUUUAAUUAAAUUUAAAAGUUUUUGUAUAUUAAAGGAAAUUAUUAGUAAGGUGAAAAGAUA